rnacentral:lncRNA from 1 species
AAAAUAUAAUAAUAAUAAUAGGGUUAAUUGUAUACUGCUUUUUGUAAAAACUAGAUUUUCACCCGUGUGAUGCACGGCUAACAUAAUAAUAUAGAAUAAUAAAAAUUAUUAUGUGAUGAUAACAGAAAAAUUUUCUAAUUAAUUUUAUUUUUUUUAACAAAUAAAAAAAUAUACUAUCAAUCUUAAUUAUAGUACAUAUUAAAGUACACAAGCAAGAGAAAAAAAAUUUGGACCAAAGUAAAUAUUCAACUAAAAUGCAAAAUUCAAUCCUGCUCUAUUAUCUAUGAAUUGGUGUGCAAAAUAAUUUACAUUUACAUAUUGAUGUACGAAAUAAAAUGAUAACUAAAAUUAAUAUGAAAAAUUACAAAUGACAUUAAUNAUUUUCUAAUUAAUUUUAUUUUUUUUAACAAAUAAAAAAAUAUACUAUCAAUCUUAAUUAUAGUACAUAUUAAAGUACACUUACAUAUUGAUGUACGAAAUAAAAUGAUAACUAAAAUUAAUAUGAAAAAUUACAAAUGACAUUAAUAUUUAAGCAUCUAAUAAGAUCAACUAAACUUUCAUAUUUGACACAAAUUAAAGUAAGCACACAUAUAUUAUGUUCCUACUGUCACUUUUAAGAUUUAAAAAUAUAUAGAUGUUGGUUUUCAAGAAAAUAUAAAGAAAAAAAAUUUGUUGCAUGAAGAUGGAAAGUUACAGGAGUGACAGUAGAGAAAAAAAUUACGAAAUGAAAAUUACAGAAGUGAUAGUAGGGAAAUAAUAUGUUCUAUUUUAAAGCAUCAAUAUUUAAGAGCGAAAAAAAUUACAGGAGUGAUGUGAGUUUUAAAUUUUUUUCACUUUCCAAAAAUGUCUCUAUUUUUUUUUACUAAUAUUUUUAUGUCCAGAAAUUUUCAACCAAUCAUUUCAAAUAAUUAACUAAGUAAUAAUUUAUUCCCAAAUAAAGAUAAAUACUUUCCUUCUCACGCGUAAUAUCCGCACCGCCAAUUCUUUCGCAACAUAAUAUCUGUAAAUUUCUCAAAUAUCUCAACAUAAUUAUAGGUGACUUUGAAAUAAAAUUUUUUUCAUUAUAUGUGAUUUUUAAUAAUAUAGUAAAAGAUAUUAAUUUUUUAUAAAAGCGUGAGUUUUAAAUUUUUUCUCUUUCCAAAAAUAUCUCUAUCCUUUUUUACUAAUAUUUUUAUGUCCAGAAAUUUUCAACCAAUCAUUUCAAAUAAUUAACUAAGUAAUAAUUUAUUCUCAAAUAAAGAUAAAUAUUUUUCUUCUCACGCGUAACAUCUGCACCGGCCAAUUUUUUUGCUACAUAAUAUUCGUAAAUUUUUUAAAUAUCUCAACAUAAUUAUAGGUGACUUUGAAAUAAAAUCUCUUUCAUUAUAGGUGAUUUUUAAUAAUAUAGUAAAAGAUAUUAAUUUUUUGCCAUUAGAUCUUAUCUAAUGAUUGAAAAUAAAAAUAUCUGUUAAUUUUUAUAACAAUAUUACCCUCGCAUUUAUAUCCUAUUUUCUAUCUACGCGUUUCUCAAAUAUUUUCCUUCUCACGCGUAAUAUCCGCACCAGUCAAUUAUUUCACAACGUAAUAUUCGUGAAUUUCUCAAAUAUCUCAUUAAUCCACCUGUCAUUUGAAUUUAAUAAUAUAGUAAAUAGAAUAGAUAUGAUGACACGUGGAAAACAUAUAGAAAGCCACGUUAGAAAAUUGUCUCUAUCCUUUUUUACUAAUAUUUUUAUGUCCAGUAAUUUUCAACUAAUAAUUUCAAAUAAUUAACUAAGUAGUAAUUUAUUCCCGAAUAAAAAUAAAUAUUUUCCUUCUCAUGCGUAAUUUCUGUACCUGCCAAUUCUUUCGCAACGUAAUAUCCGUAAUUUCUUAAAUAUCUCAAUAACUUUGAAAUAAAAUUUCUUUCAUUACAGGUGAUUUUUAAUAAUUUAGUAAAAGAUAUUAUUUCCUUUAAAAAUUUAAUUUUAUUUUUUCUAAAUCUCCUUCAUUCAUUAUAGGUGAUUUUUAAUAAUAUUGUAAAAAAUACUAUUUUCUUAAAAAGUUUAAUUUUAUUUUCCCUAAAGUAGUCAUAUUUCCUAAAGUAACUAUAGGUGACUUUGAAAUAUUCCAUAAAGUAGAAAAUUUAUAUUUGAGCUUCACACGUAAAUUUUCUAUAUAGUAAAAGAUAUUAUUUUCUUAAAAAAAUUAAUUUUAUUUUUCCUAAAGUAGUCAUAUUUUCUAAAGUAGUAAUAUCCGCACAACAUAAUUAUAGGUGACUUUGAAAUAUUCCAUAAAGUAGAAAAUCUAUAUUUGAGCUUGACACGUAGAUUUUC